rnacentral:rRNA from 1 species
UACGGGGGGGGCAAGCGUUGUUCGGAAUUACUGGACGUAAAGGGCUCGUAGGUGGCCAACUAAGUCAGACGUGAAAUCCCUCGGCUUAACCGGGGAACUGCGUCUGAUACUGGAUGGCUUGAGAUUGGGAGAGGGAUGCGGAAUUCCAGGUGUAGCGGUGAAAUGCGUAGAUAUCUGGAGGAACACCGGUGGCGAAGGCGGCAUCCUGGACCAACACUGACACUGAGGAGCGAAAGCCAGGGGAGCAAACGGG